CAGUAGCCGCGGUAAUACGAAGGGGGCUAGCGUUACUCGGAAUUACUGGGCGUAAAGGGCGCGUAGGCGGCACGAUUAGUCAGGCGUGAAAUUCCUGGGCUCAACCUGGGGACUGCGCUUGAUACGGUCGAGCUAGAGGACGGAAGAGGGUCGUGGAAUUCCCAGUGUAGAGGUGAAAUUCGUAGAUAUUCGCAAGAACACCAGUGGCGAAGGCGGCUCACUGGCCCGAUACUGACGCUGAGGUGCGAAAGCGUGGGGAGCAAACAGGAUUAGAUACCCCAGUAGUCCCUGUCUCUUAUAC
rnacentral:rRNA from 1 species